GACGAACGCUGGCGGCGUGCUUAACACAUGCAAGUCGAACGGAAAGGCCCUGCUUUUGUGGGGUGCUCGAGUGGCGAACGGGUGAGUAACACGUGAGUAACCUGCCCUUGACUUUGGGAUAACUUCAGGAAACUGGGGCUAAUACCGGAUAGGAGCUCCUGCUGCAUGGUGGGGGUUGGAAAGUUUCGGCGGUUGGGGAUGGACUCGCGGCUUAUCAGCUUGUUGGUGGGGUAGUGGCUUACCAAGGCUUUGACGGGUAGCCGGCCUGAGAGGGUGACCGGCCACAUGGGGACUAAGGGACGGCCCAGUCGCGUACGGGAGGCAGCGGGGGGGAGUAUGGCACAGGGGGGGGGAGCGUGAUACGGCGACCCCGCGUGCGGAAUAACGGCCUUCGGGUGAAAAACCACUUUCGCCGGUGACGAAGCGUGAGUGACGGUAAUGGAUAAAGAAGCACCGGCUAACUACGUG
rnacentral:rRNA from 1 species